GUGAGACCUUCUUCUAUCAUAAUCUGAUAUCUAACAUUCUAUAUUACACAUUUUAUCCAUAGAAUAGCACUAUCACAAAGUACAAACCAUUUAACAACAAAUAUAUAUUUCACAGGUUCAUGCUGUAUCAGAUCAAACCAGUCUGAGAGCGUCAAUCAGGACUCCGAUACAAAUCAUGUGGUCAACCAGAAUGAGGCUCAAUGUGAUAUGUACUCCACUCUUCUCCAUGGUGAUACUUCUCUCUAUGAAUCAAUCACACACCCUGA